rnacentral:piRNA from 1 species
UAGGAUGUGGUGGGAACUUGAAACCUGA